GUUUUUCCACUGGGAAAUCCCUUCUGGAAAGGAGGUAAAAGUAACGGUCCCUUUCUAUUAAAAAGUCUGCCGUUUGUGGACAAAAAGCAUGAAUGUGGCCAUUCCCUUGUUUGAAGCAUGGAGAAGGAAGGAAGCAUGCCUCUUCCAUUUUCCUGUGUUCUAUUCCAGGCCUCCCUGCUGGGAGUGCCACUCGUCCAGGCACCCAGAAACUCUUGCUGGUGGGUGUUACCUGGUGGCAGUACCAUCCCCAGCUUUGGACCAUUUCACCUCCUUUCUGUCCUCUCCUUUCCUUCAGAUGUAUUUUCCCAUGCUCUGUUUUCUACUAGGUUGCACGAUGGGUCUUUUGUCCUGAAGACAUUGCCCUUUGAAGACCAGGAAGGUCUUGCUGCCUAAGGAAGUUGCUUCAGCAGAGGGACCUCCUUUAUUAUCCCGCUUUGCCUUCUCAGAGGAUCUUGUGGCUGUUGCAUCUGAUUGUCAGGGGUAUGGCCAGUCCUCUGCUCCUGAACAAGAAACCAAGGAGCCAUCACAGGUUGGCACAGCUGUGACUUGGUGUCUCCAUCCCAACUUCUGCUCGAACCUGGUCUAAUGAUUCAGAUCUUGUCUGAACCAAAUACCUUGUCUUUUACGAUGCCUUCCCUGGACUUCCCUGGAGGUGGUUCUUACAUGGUGCCCACAUGUUUCACUUGACCAGUGGCUAGUGGCAGCACAGGCCUCAUCAUGGCCAUGUCAAGGGUCACUCUUAUUUAAGAGAAGGAUGAAGUGGUACAAGGUCAGGAACCCCCUUUCAUGGCAAUCAAUCACUGAGUCACAGAAGGGUUCAGACAGAUGGGAAACCAACAAGACCACCCCUGAAGCAGGAAGAGAGGUUGGUCAGACACACACUGCCCCAUGGAAGAGACCCACAGGAAACACUGAUGGACUGAAUUAUGUACCCAUUAUGGCUCUGAAUGAGACAGUUGUGGAGCGAAUCUGUGGAUUAAUGUGCCUACUUAAUUGCAGUUGUAACAAAUCAUUGAUCAAAUUUGUGGAACUAGCUGAUCCCUUUUUGCUCCUUCUUCUAGUAUGCUCUCCACAAGAGUGACAAGGUAAGGGGCUCCUGAUCCACAUAUGAAUACAAGGGAAGCCCCACCCCCUGGAAUGAAGAAAACUGAGGGCCUCUUUCUCCUAUUCUGUGGGUCUUCUAGAAUAUCCAAGAUGCAUUAAGGAUUGGAAAGGUGCCCUCUUUUCAGAAACUCCAGCCAAAGAGCACAGAGCAAAGCAGAUGUCUAUGCCCGCUUUCCUUCAAGGAAAGGCUUGAAACACACUUCACAAGACUCUUCCAUCAUCUCUCAUUUAGAGAGCCUGUGUCCCCAAUGCUGUGUCUUUGCCCCCUCUACCUGGAAUGCUCUCCUGUUGCCACCACAUUUCUGCUUGUAGACAUUUAACCCAUCCUUCACAGCCUGAUAAAGGCAUCUGCUCAAAGGAGUAGUCUCAGAUCUACAUGGUCAGAAUCACACUCUGUCCCCACCGGCCCCAUAAUCAGGUGCUUAUGCUGUUCAUAGAUGGGUUGUUCAUACAUCCCAGUUUCCUUGGGACCGUCCUGCUUUAUGCCUGUCAUGCCAGGAUUCAUUAAUAGCAUCUUUUCACCUUCAAAACUGUCUCAAUUGAACGAUAGAUGGUAUGGUGUGGUGGACACACCCUCUGGUGACCCCCAUUGGGUCAUAUCUUUUUCUGACCCCUUCCCUUGAAUGCAGGAAGAACUGGUGACUUGCUUCUGGCCAAUAGAAUGUGGCCAAGGUGACAAGAUAGCCAUCCUUUGGUUGUGUCACUUUUUAUAAGACUCUGUUUUCGUGACUAAAGAGAGUGGGUCCCCUACAGGCCUUGAAGAAACGAGCUGCUAUGAUGUGAACUGCCUGAGGGAAGGGCCUUAGGAACUGUGGGCAGGAACCAUGGGCAGCCUCUACCUGCUGAAGGCCUUGGUCUUCUGGAUGUAAGGAACUGAAUUCUGCCAGCAGUCACAUGGCCAGAGGAGGACCCCAAGCUCCAGCGAGGAAAAUUGUGACUCCUCAAUGACGGUCUCUGAGCCCUGAGCAGAGGACCCACGUGAGCUGUGCCUGGACUCCUGACCCACAGGCACUGUGAGGUAUCUGAAAUGCCUGCCCUUUCCUCCAUGCCCAAAAGAGUGCAGAACUCAGAAGUUCUUCAUGGAUGCCUUCCAGAUAUGCUACUUGAAACCACUGAUGGGAAGACCGAGACUUGAGAGGCAAAAGUGCUUGCCCCAGGUCUCCCAGCUGGUAAGUACAGAUCCCCAAAGUUUUUCGCCCUAUUCCAAACUGCCUCUUCUCCCCUUGGGAUCCAGCCCUUUGCAAGACACCAGUGACUGGUAAAGUCUAGCGGAAAUCAUGCAGGAUUCAGUGACCAAGCCCUUGAACCUUGGGAAAGUCCUCAGAGAUUUUUUGCAUCUUGGCAUCCAAAAUGGCAAAAAGGAAAGAAAUCGAUUUGACCUUAGAGGUUUGGAUUUUGUAAGGCGUAACUGUGAGAACAAUUACUUAAUUGUAAUAGUUAACAAUGGUAAUUGUUGAGGAGUAUAGGCUCAAAACAAAUUAGUUCCUUAAUGAGGCAUUUGUUAGCUUGUUCUGAGAUGACAUAAUGCCUUAACACUAAUGAAGAUGCAGAAAAAAGGAUUUUAAAAACAGUGCUUAAUGUAUAACUCGGUGUUCUACCUCUUCUUCCGUGUGACGUGUGGGUAUACUCUCUCUGUCCCCAUCCUGAGCUCCAGCCUGUGCCUGAAGGCAGAAACCAGAAGUGUGUCCUUGUCUCCCAUCCUGAAAACAGGAUAGUUUGGUACAUUUGGAAGUGCUCUGUGUGCUAGGAGAGCACUUCCAAAAGCAAGUCUCUAAUGCAGAGUGGAGUUUACCUCCCAAACGAUUCCAGUGAGUAAGCCUUGUUGAUGCUUGACUA